UACGUAGGGGGCGAGCGUUGUCCGGAAUUACUGGGCGUAAAGCGCGCGUAGGUGGCGCUCUAAGACCGGUGUGAAAUCUCCGCGCUUACCGUGGAGAGGUCGCUGGUGACUGGAGGGCUUGAGUUUGGCAGAGGUGAGUGGAAUUCCCGGUGGAGCGGUGAAAUGCGUAGAGAUCGGGAGGAACACCAGUGGCGAAGGCGGCUCACUGGGCCAUGACUGACGCUGAGGCGCGAAAGCGUGGGGAGCGAACCGGAUUAGAUACCCGGGUAGUCCACGCCCUAAACGAUGGGUACUAGGCGUGCGGGGUAUCGACCCCCUGCGUGCCGUAGCUAACGUGAGAAGUACCCCGCCUGGGGAGUACGGCCGCAAGGUUGAA
rnacentral:rRNA from 1 species